rnacentral:rRNA from 1 species
AUUGAACGCUGGCGGCAUGCCUUACACAUGCAAGUCGAACGGCAGCACGGGUGCUUGUAUCUGGUGGAGAGUGGCGAACGGGUGAGUAAUACAUAGGAACAUGUCCUGUAGUGGGGGAUAGCCCGGCGAAAGCCGGAUUAAUACCGCAUACGAACCACGGAUGAAAGCGGGGGACCUUCGGGUCUAGCGCUGUUGGGUUGGCCGAUGGCUGAUUAGCUAGUUGGUGGGGUAAUGGCCUACCAAGGCGACGAUCAGUAGCUGGUCUGCGUGGACGACCAGCCCCACUGGCACUGGCACACGGCCCAGACUCCUACGGGAGGGAGCAGUGGGGAAUUUUGGACAAUGAGCGAAAGCCUGAGCCAGCAAUCCCGCGUGUGUGAGGAAGGCCUUCGUGUUGUAAAGCACGCUUGGCUGGAAAGAAAGCCUUGGCUCUAAUACAGUCGGUAGAUGACGGUACCGGAAGAAUAAGCACCGGCUAACUACGUG